rnacentral:rRNA from 1 species
GUUGAACGCUGGCGGAAUGCUUUACACAUGCAAUUCGAACGGCAGCACGGACUUCGGUCUGGUGGCGAGUGGCGAACGGUUGAGUAAUACAUCGGAACGUGCCCAGUCGUGGGGGAUAACGUAGCGAAAGCUACGCUAAUAACGCAUAAGAUCUAAGGAUGAAAGCGGGGGACCGCACGGACUCGCGCGAUUGGAGCGGCCGAUGGCAGAUUAGGUAGUUGGUGGGGUGAAGGCUCACCAAGCCGACGAUCUGUAGCUUGUCUGAGAGGACGAACAGCCACACUGGGACUGAGACACGGCCCAGACUCAUACGGGAGGCAGCAGUGGGGAAUUUUGGACAAUGGGCGCAAGCCUGAUCCAGCCAUUCCGCGUGCAGGAUGAAGGCUCUCGGGUUGUAAACUGCUUUUGUACGGAACGAAAAGGCUCUGGUUAAUACCUGGGGCUCAUGACGGUACCGUAAGAAUAAGCACCGGCUAACUACGUGCCAGCCGCCGCGGUAA